CAUUUAAAGGAGUAAAGCCGAGCUCGAUUAACAAAAUAUCCGCCGCUACUUCUCAUUUUCUGAAAUCUAAAACACUAUCAGAGGAAGGAAAGGGUACAACUUUUGUCGAAACCAACAUGAGAGCUAAGUGGAAGAAGAAGCGUAUGAGGAGGUUGAAGAGGAAGAGACGAAAGAUGAGCCAGCGAUCUAAGUAGUUUCGAGGAACCUGCUUUGUCUUUCUCCCUUUUGAAACCAAACAUUUGUGAGAGUUUUUGUUGGUUUUCUAUCUGAAUUUGAAUGUUUUUGUUGGAAAAAAUGGAUGCUAUGUUUUCUAUCAGGAUUAUGUUAUUACAUGAAAGGAUCCACGUGGGUUCUCGAUUUAAUACUUUUAUUUUUUACA